rnacentral:rRNA from 1 species
UGGGGAAUUUUGGACAAUGGGGGCAACCCUGAUCCAGCCAUUCCGCGUGAGUGAAGAAGGCCUUCGGGUUGUAAAGCUCUUUCAGCUGGAACGAAACGGUACGCUCUAACAUAGCGUGCUAAUGACGGUACCAGCAGAAGAAGCACCGGCUAACUACGUGCCAGCAGCCGCGGUAAUACGUAGGGUGCGAGCGUUAAUCGGAAUUACUGGGCGUAAAGCGUGCGCAGGCGGAUUGUUAAGCAAGACGUGAAAUCCCCGGGCUUAACCUGGGAAUGGCGUUUUGAACUGGCAGUCUAGAGUGUGUCAGAGGGGGGUAGAAUUCCACGUGUAGCAGUGAAAUGCGUAGAGAUGUGGAGGAAUACCAAUGGCGAAGGCAGCCCCCUGGGAUAACACUGACGCUCAUGUACGAAAGCGUGGGUAGCAAACAGGAUUAGAUACCCUGGUAGUCCACGCCCUAAACGAUGUCAACUGGUUGUUGGGGGAGUGAAAUCCCUUAGUAACG